rnacentral:lncRNA from 1 species
CCCCAGUCCGAACAGAUUCGUUCGAGAUCCCAACUCUGCAGGCAAACUCUCAGGCCGGCCAUGGCAGUGCGGUCCAAACGGAUUACGGGCAUUCCAAUCAAGCUUCUCUGGCCCUCAAAGACCAGAGGAAGUUGGACGACGGAUACAACUGGAGGAAGUAUGGGCAGAAGCAGGUCAAAGGAAGCGAAAACCCGCGAAGCUAUUACAAGUGUACGUACCCGAAUUGCCCGACGAAGAAGAAGGUGGAGAGGUCUUUGGAUGGACAGAUCACUGAGAUCGUGUACAAGGGAACGCACAACCACCCGAAGCCUCAGGCCAAUAGGAGGAGCUCGUCGGCUGCUGCUCAAGCGAUCCAGGGUCCCGUGC